UAAGUACCAACUCCGUCCGAAAAUACUUGUCAUCAAAAUGAAUAAAAAGAGAUGUAUCUAAAACUAAAAUAUGUCUAGAUACAUCUCUUUUAUCCAUUUUGAUGACAAAAAUUUCCGGACGGAGAGAGUAUUCA
rfam:Triticum aestivum genome assembly, contig: Triticum_aestivum_CS42_TGACv1_scaffold_527495_6DL